rnacentral:rRNA from 1 species
AUGGCGUCGGAGGCGCCACUCCUCGCCCGCGCGCCGCCGCUCGCGAGGUGGCCCGGGGCCAUCACCGUCUUCGCCGCCCCCGACGCCUUCCUCCAGGCCUCCUGCCCCAUGUGCUCGCGCCGCCACCUCCUCCAGCAGCACAUCGCCAUGGGCUACUACCCCUACUCCGACCUCGCCGCGGCCGCCACCAUGAAGAUCCCCUCCGCCUCCGUCGGCUUCUGCAUCAAGGUCGCCACCGAGCGGGGCCCCUUCGGCAUCCACUACGCCAGGAUCUACGCCGACGGCGUCGAGUUGUCCCACCCCGAGCUCUACAACGACGGCCGCUACGUCGUCCACGGCCUCCACGGCUUCCUGCGCCCGCUCACGCACUCCUGCUUCGACGGCCCGCACCACCACCACCUCACCGGCCGCUCCGCCGCAGCCUCCGCUGCCACCGCCGCCUCCGUGUUCGCCGAGCUCGAGAAGUUCGCCAAUCUGACGCUCUUCACGCUCGACGACCCGGCUAUCUUCGUCGGCGGAGGCCACGACUACGUGUCGGCGGUGCGCUUCCACAUCGUCCCCAACCACCGCCUCACGCGCGCCGACCUCCACCGCCUCCGCCCUGGCACGGUCCUCCCCACGCUGGCCGGCGAGGGCCAGAGCCUCGUCGUCACGCACUACGCCACCGACUCGGCCUCCUCCAACUCCAACGACGUCCGCAUCAACUACAUACCCAUCAAGGAGCCCGACGUGGUGGUCAACUCGCGCAUCGCCGUCCACGGCGUCUACGUGCCGUUCCCCCGCCUCCACCUCGCCGACCUCGCCGUCGCGUCCGCCACCGACCAGACGAACGGCACCUGCGGCGUCGGGGGGCCCUUCGGCGACUGCGCCUCCUCAGCGAUCACCUCUCCCGGCGAGUGA